rnacentral:rRNA from 1 species
UACGGAGGAUGCAAGCGUUAUCCGGAUUUAUUAGGUUUAAAGGGUGCGUAGGUGGGCGCUUAAGUCAGUGGUUAAAGCCAAUAGCUUAACUAUUGUAUGCCAUUGAAACUGGAUGUCUUGAAUAGGGUAGAGGUAGGCGGAAUGUGUUGUGUAGCGGUGAAAUGCUUAGAUAUAACACAGAACACCGAUUGCGAAGGCAGCUUACUAUGCCUUUAUUGACACUGAUGCACGAAAGCGUGGGGAUCAAACAGGAUUAGAUACCCU